CUCCUUAUCUGAUACAGUUGUAGCUUCUUUCUCUCUUCUGAAUUUGUCCUAAAAGGAAAUCACUGUCCUAAAAAAACUGUUCUUGAUGGGAGAAUAGUAUUAAUGUGAAGACACAGUUUUGGAUCCCUAUGUACAGAAAUUUAUCUCCUAAAACAAAACAUCAUCUACUGAGAUAUUCUGAUUACAUAGAAGACUCACCAGGAGUGAAAAACGGACGCCGACGACAUCAACAAUCUCCGAUUACUCCGACAAUAGAUGGAGGUACGCUAAUCCUUAUCUGAAGUGGUCAUUGAACAUGUUCUCUUAUGGCUAGCUCCUUGAUGUCGAUAUACUUGCUUCGGCGACCACUUUUGUAAUUCUUAGCCAAAACAACAACUGAAUUAUCAUAAUAUAGCUUUAAUGGCUUAGAGAUGGAGUCGACAAUGUUAGCCCAUAUGUUAUUGGGCCUUUAGUUUAUGGACCUUUAGGUUAUUGGCUAUGUAUAUAUAGCCUACUCUUGUUUUAGUUAGUUUUAUGCUUUUCAGAUUAUAUUGUAAACCUUAGCCUUUCUUCCCUUCAAUAAAGUUCUAUUAACAUGGUAUCAAAGCAGCGAACUGUGGAGGACGAGAUGACCACGGAGGAGCACCAGAUGGGCGUGACGGAUACUUUUGCUGCCCAUAUUUCUGUUGCUGCACCAUCUGUAGAUGUUGAGUCUGUUAGCACUAUGCCACCUUCUGCGUUGGAUCCCCAGGUUUUCGAACAGUUCAGACAGUUCUUCGUUUCUAAUCCUACGGCCAUGUCAGCAUCUAUGUCUCAUUCGGG
rnacentral:lncRNA from 1 species